UCUUUGAGUAUUCCCAGCACUGACAAGAGAUAAGGGAAAGCAGAAACAACUUUGUUGGUUCAUAAGUCAAUGGCAUCAAAGGGUUUCCAGACCCUGUGGUGAAGUCUAAGUCGUCAGGAUCACUUUACAAAAAAAAUAAUGCAUUAUGUAAUUCAAUUUAGUAUUGUUCUACUUGAGAUAUUUCUUCACUGCGUUCUUAAU